ACACUUGUGGCCAAGUUGUAAGGCGCCGCACUCGUAUAGCUUACUGAGUGAUCAUGCGGAGAUCGAGGGUUCAAAUCCCCAGAACAGAC